rnacentral:rRNA from 1 species
ACCGGGAGGGCGAGCAGUGGGGAAGGUAAUUGUCGACAAUGGCGGCAAAGGCCUGAUGCAGGCCAUGCCGCGUGUGUGAAGAAGGCCUUCGGGUUGUAAAGCACUUUCAGUCAGGAGGAAAGGUUAACGGUUAAUACCCGUUAGCUGUGACGUUACUGACAGAAGAAGCACCGGCUAACUCCGUGCCAGCAGCCGCGGUAA